UAGGCAGACUCCAAGGUACCUGAUGCUCAGGCAGGUCAUGAGAAGACAAUGACAACACUUCUCCCAGCACUCUCGGGUGCAAAUACCCUGUACGGCUCAG
rfam:Methanohalobium evestigatum Z-7303, complete genome.